rnacentral:rRNA from 1 species
CCUACGGGAGGCUGCAGUGAGGAAUAUUGGUCAAUGGGCGCGAGCCUGAACCAGCCAAGUAGCGUGAAGGAUGACUGCCCUACGGGUUGUAAACUUCUUUUAUAAAGGAAUACAGUGAGGCACGUGUGCCUUUUUGUAUGUACUUUAUGAAUAAGGAUCGGCUAACUCCGUGCCAGCAGCCGCGGUAAUACGGAGGAUCCGAGCGUUAUCCGGAUUUAUUGGGUUUAAAGGGAGCGUAGAUGGGUUGUUAAGUCAGUUGUGAAAGUUUGCGGCUCAACCGUAAAAUUGCAAUUGAUACUGGCAGCCUUGAGUACAGUUGAGGUAGGCGGAAUUCGUGGUGUAGCGGUGAAAUGCUUAGAUAUCACGAAGAACUCCGAUUGCGAAGGCAGCUUACUAAACUGCCACUGACAUUGAUGCACGAAAGCGUGGGUAUCGAACAGGAUUAGAUACCCGGGUAGUC